UACGUAGGGGGCAAGCGUUGUCCGGAAUCAUUGGGCGUAAAGCGCGUGUAGGCGGCUCGGUAAGUCCGCUCUGAAAGUCCAAGGCUCAACCUUGGGAUGCGGGUGGAUACUGCCGGGCUCGAGUCCGGAAGAGGCGAGUGGAAUUCCUGGUGUAGCGGUGAAAUGCGUAGAUAAUCGGGGAGGAAUACCUAUGGCGAAGGCAGGUUACUGGGCCAUCGACUGACGCUGAGCUGCGAAAGCUAGGGGAGCAAACAGG
rnacentral:rRNA from 1 species